rnacentral:rRNA from 1 species
AACGAACGCUGGCGGCAUGCCUAACACAUGCAAGUCGAACGAGACCUUCGGGUCUAGUGGCGCACGGGUGCGUAACGCGUGGGAACCUGCCCUUAGGCUCAGAAUAACUCACCGAAAGGGGUGCUAAUACCGGAUAAUGUCUUCGGACCAAUGAUUCAUCGCCUUUGGAUGGGCCCGCGUUGGAUUAGCUAGUUGGUAGGGUAAAAGCCUGCCAAGGCGGCGAUCCAUAGCUGGUCUGAGAGGAUGAUCAGCCACACUGGGGCUGAGACACGGACCAGACUCCUACGGGAGGCAGCAGUAGGGAAUAUUGGAGGAUGGACGAAAGCCUGAUACAGCAAUGCCGCGUGAGUGAUGAAGGCCUUAGGAUUGUAAAGCUCGUCUAGCCGGGAUGAUAAUGACAGUACCGGGAGAAUAAGCUCCGGCUAACUACGUG